rnacentral:rRNA from 1 species
AUUGAACGCUGGCGGCACGCCUAACACAUGCAAGUCGAGCGGUAGCAGGACCUGUAGCAAUACAGGUUGCUGACGAGCGGCGGACGGGUGAGGAAUACGUAGGAACCUGCCUUAUAGUGGGGGAUAACUAAGGGAAACUUUAGCUAAUACCGCAUAAUCUCGAGAGAGGAAAGCUGCCGCAAGGUGGCGCUAAAUGAGGGGCCUGCGUCCGAUUAGCUAGUUGGUGAGGUAAGAGCUCACCAAGGCGAUGAUCGGUAACUGGUCUGAGAGGACGACCAGUCACACUGGGACUGAGACACGGCCCAGACUCCUACGGGAGGCAGCAGUGGGGAAUAUUGGACAAUGGGGGCAACCCUGAUCCAGCGAUGCCGCGUGAGUGAAGAAGGCCUUCGGGUCGUAAAGCUCUUUAGGUUGGGAAGAAGGGUGUUAGAGGAAAUGCUAAUACUUUGACGGUACCGACAGAAUAAGCACCGGCAAACUCUGUGCCAGCAGCCGCAGUAA